GCAUUGUUAAAAAAUGAGUGAAGAUACCAAAGAAGAAAGGAGGAAGUCAGACAGAGAGGUGGACACUUGAUAUCGGGUCAAGGUGUGUAAAGAAAAAUCUUUCAAAAUUACAAAAGAAUCAUGCACAGCCAGCAUGCCCGUGCUCCUAAUCGAGUUAUCAGAUCUGAGCAUCCCAUAUGAACUUCGUGCAUUGUUUCAGCUGCGUGCUUGGGUACUAGUUUGAUUAGAAAGGAAUUUGUUCAUCUUCAGUAAGCUUCUUUAGCAGAAUUACUUCAGAAGUUCCGGAUUUUCAAAACGAAAAAGGUGGUGAAAAUUCUAAAAAGUUUUUAGCUCCUGCUUUGAGCCUGAUGCUUUCUGACUUGUAUGGUCUUCCUUUCCUUCAGCCCCUGAAGCUGUAGUUCUUUCUGUCCACACAGCACAUUUGCCCUUCAAGGUAAAGACUGCAGGGUAUGAGCCUUCUGUAAUGGGUGUGGGAUUUGAAGGAAUGCUGUCUAUACAGCUAGAGUAAUCAUUCUUGUCUGGUAACAAAAUGUAGAAAACAAAGCCCAUAGGACCCUUAGGGAGGCAGGCACAGUUUCUUCCUUUUGUAGAUUAAGUUAGAAAUGAAAAAUACGAUUGAAAAUCAUGUACACGUGUGCCAUUAAAACCAGUAUGAUUAUAUAAAUGAAUAUGCAUAUGUUCACAUCCUUAUAUUCGGUAAUUAGAUAAGUUGUGUAUAUAGCACACUUGUUAACAAAACUUCAGAAAAUUUUGUUAUGUAUGAAUGGAGUGGUGUCUACUAAUUUGUCAUAUCUGGAAUAGAUACAUACUCAUCCCUGUUGGUUCUAAUAUCUAUGACCUUGGUAUUUCAAAGAAAAAUUUUAAAUUGUCAGUAUGAAAUGUAUAGUAUGAAGUUUUAUUUGUAGAAAAAAAUGGGAAGUCUUUGUCUGUUGAGGAAUGAAAUUUAUAUAGCCAAUAAAAGUGGUGUGUUUAACUCAAGAAAAUCUGAACUCUUGUUACUCACUUGGUCUUAUCUUUUUGUCAUUUUUCUUUUCAGUAGUGAGGCCAAAUAGUAUUAAGCAUCAACACUUAAAUUUUAGUUGUAAAACAAAGCUGUUCAGUCUCUUACUCCACAUGAUUGAAACCAGUCAGCAGUGUGGAAUGGGCCAGAGUUUAAUCAAUACUGCGCUGCUCACACAUGCUGUGGAUGGAACCUGUCUAAAUUCUCUAGUCU
ensembl:lncRNA